rnacentral:rRNA from 1 species
UACGUAGGGUGCAAGCGUUGUCCGGAAUCAUUGGGCGUAAAGAGCGUGUAGGCGGCUCGAUCAGUCCGCUGUGAAAGUCCAGGGCUCAACCCUGGGAUGCCGGUGGAUACUGUCGGGCUAGAGUCCGGGAGAGGCGAGUGGAAUUCCUGGUGUAGCGGUGAAAUGCGCAGAUAUCAGGAGGAACACCAAUGGCGAAGGCAGCUCGCUGGAACGGUACUGACGCUGAGACGCGAAAGCGUGGGGAGCAAACAGG